UGGGGAAUUUUGGACAAUGGGCGAAAGCCUGAUCCAGCAAUGCCGCGUGUGUGAAGAAGGCCUUCGGGUUGUAAAGCACUUUUGUCCGGAAAGAAAUCCUUGGCUCUAAUACAGUCGGGGGAUGACGGUACCGGAAGAAUAAGCACCGGCUAACUACGUGCCAGCAGCCGCGGUAAUACGUAGGGUGCAAGCGUUAAUCGGAAUUACUGGGCGUAAAGCGUGCGCAGGCGGUUUGCUAAGACCGAUGUGAAAUCCCCGGGCUCAACCUGGGAACUGCAUUGGUGACUGGCAGGCUAGAGUAUGGCAGAGGGGGGUAGAAUUCCACGUGUAGCAGUGAAAUGCGUAGAGAUGUGGAGGAAUACCGAUGGCGAAAGGCAGCCCCCUGGGCCAAAUACUGACGCUCAUGCACGAAAAGCGUGGGGAGCAAAACAGGAUUAGAUACCCUGGUAGUCCACGCCCUAAAACGAUGUCAACUAGUUGUUGGGGAUUCAUUUCCUAGUAACGUAGCUAACGCGUGAAGUUGACCGCCUGGGGAGUACGGUCGC
rnacentral:rRNA from 1 species